rnacentral:tRNA from 1 species
GGGCAGGUGGCCGAGUGGUUAAGGCGCUACGUUUAGGUGAAAAACCAUACCGUAGUGGGAAACCGCGUGCGUUCGAACCGCACCCUGCUCA